AAGGCUUGACAUAUAGGGAAAAGUGGCAGAGAUGUCAUGUCUGCAAGGGCUCUAUACAGGUGGUGCAUGGUUGUCGUCAGCUCGUGUCGUGAGAUGUUGGGUUAAGUCCCGCAACGAGCGCAACCCUCGUUCUGUGUUGCCAGCAUUUAGUUGGGGACUCACAGGAGACUGCCGGGGUUAACUCGGAGGAAGGUGGGGAUGACGUCAAAUCAUCAUGCCCCUUAUGUCUUGGGCUGCACGCAUGCUACAAUGGCCGGUACAGAGGGCUGCAAUACCGUAAGGUGGAGCGAAUCCCAAAAAGCCGGUCUCAGUUCGGAUUGAGGUCUGCAACUCGACCUCAUGAAGUUGGAGUUGCUAGUAAUCGUAGAUCAGCAACG
rnacentral:rRNA from 1 species